rnacentral:pre_miRNA from 1 species
AAUGUAUGACGCCGUUGACUUUUUUGCUUAACGUUUGACCAUUCGUCUUAUUCAAAAUUCUGUGUAAUUAUUAUUUAUUUUAUUAUGACUUGAUUCGUCAUCAAAUAUUUUUUAAGCAUGACAUAAAUAUUUUCAUAUUUGCAAAAAAAAAUUGAAUAAAACGAAUUGUCAAACGUUGGUCGAAAAGUCAACGGCGUCAUACAUU